ensembl:snRNA U1 U1 spliceosomal RNA
CCAGUUACCUGGCAGGGGAGAUACCAUGAUCAUGAAGGUGGUUUUCCCAGGGCGAGGCUUAUCCAUUGCACCUGUUCUGCAUCUUGCACAUAUAAAUCUUUUCAAGAAUUGGAGAUCCAAGUUAAGUGCACAGUUCCUGAUCUCAGUUGGAGGUAAGCUCUCCUU